GCGAUGUAUUCAGACACAGGUUUGUUUCCUUGAAUCAGUCAUUGCCACUGAUCUAACAGGCGACUUUUAUAGGAUGUUGGGAGAUAUUUUUCUUUUAACUUCUCCUUCAUUUCAUCCCAUUGUACCACAGGGGGUUGUCUAGCUCUAGCAAGCAUAUUUUCUAUUGUGUUCCAAUGCAACUUUGCGGGACCAGUGAGCUUCAUUUUUGCAAAACGAACUCUGCGAUCUUCAGAAAGAUUAUACCAUUCAAAGUAAUGGUCCAUAUCAGCGAGCCAGUCAAUGAAGACUUUUGGGUCGAGACGACCAUCAUAACUUGGUGCAUCGAUCUUAAUACUGCGCAGUACAUGCUCAUCUGAAGUCUCACGCGCUCUUAGAUAGUCCCUUUGGUGUUGUGGCCCAAGGCCUCUAGGGCGGG
rnacentral:lncRNA from 1 species